UGGGGAAUAUUGGGCAAUGGGCGCAAGCCUGACCCAGCAACGCCGCGUGAGGGAAGAAGGUCUUCGGAUUGUAAACCUCUGUCCUUGGGGACGAAAAAAAUGACGGUACCCAAGGAGGAAGCUCCGGCUAACUACGUGCCAGCAGCCGCGGUAAUACGUAGGGAGCGAGCGUUGUCCGGAAUUACUGGGCGUAAAGGGUGCGUAGGCGGCAUGGCAAGUCAGAUGUGAAAUCCCCGGGCUUAACUCGGGUGGUGCAUUUGAAACUGCUGUGCUUGAGUGCAGGAGAGGAAAGCGGAAUUCCUAGUGUAGCGGUGAAACGCGUAGAUAUUAGGAAGAACACCAGUGGCGAAGGCGGCUUUCUGGACUGUAACUGACGCUGAGGCACGAAAGCGUGGGGAGCAAACA
rnacentral:rRNA from 1 species